rnacentral:rRNA from 1 species
GACAUCCCGGAGACCUUAGGAACUAGGGGUGCUUCCAUCUGGAAGAAUCUGGAGACAGGUGCUGCAUGGCUGUCGUCAGCUCGUGUCGUGAGAUGUUGGGUUAAGUCCCGCAACGAGCGCAACCCUUGCCUUUAGUUGCCAGCAGUUCGGCUGGGCACUCUAAAGGGACUGCCGGUGUUAAACCGGAGGAAGGUGGGGGAUGACGUCAAGUCCUCAUGGCCUUUAUGACCAGGGCUACACACGUACUACAAUGGCCGAUACAAAGGGCAGCGACACUGCGAGGUGAAGCCAAUACCCGUAAAAAUCGGUCUCAGUCCGGAUUGGAGUCUGCAACUCGACUCCAUGAAGUUGGAAUCGCUAGUAAUCGUGGAUCAGCAUGCCACGGUGAAUACGUUCCCGGGCCUU